CAAGCUAUGGAUGGAAAUAAAUGGGAGAACUGCAGAGUUUAAAGAGCAAAACAAAUUUUUGGGGAUGGCAGCACGGUGAAGCAGCUGGAAAGCGUCAGCCUCAAGGUUCUGAGGUCCUGUGUUCAAUCCCACCCCCGCCUGUGUGGCGUUUGCGUGUUCUCCCCAUGCGUGGGUUUUCUCCGGGCACUCCGGUUUCCUCCCACAUCCCAAAAACAUGCAACAUUAAUUGGACACUCAAAAUUGCCCCUAGGUGUGAUUGUGAGUGCACCUGUUGAGUCUCUAUGUGCCUUGUGAUUGGCUGGCAACCAGUUCUGGGUGUACACCGCCUACUGCCCGUUGACAACUGGGAUAGGCUGCUGCACUCCCCGUGACCCUUGUGAGGCUCAGCGAACCUCGGAGUCAAACCAAGAGCCGCAGAUGGCGACGCUCACCUCCCUGACACUCGUCCUUGCUGGUGUUGAAGCCGGCGUUGCCGUUGACAAACUGGCAGAUGGAGUACAGACGACAGCCGCGGUGGCAGGCGUUCAUUAUGGAGUCCUACACACAAAAAAAUACGUCACAUACUAGAUAUAAUAUACAUGAGUGCAUUCAAGGCAUCACUGAGGAGCUCCAGAACCUGCAAAGUAGCCGAUGUCGCCCAGCUGGUUGUCGAAAGAGUCCGGGGCGGACGCGGCGGCCGCCAGCCCCGCCAGGAGCACGGCGAGCAAGCCCGAGCAGGAGCGCAUGUUUGCGGCCGGUGCGGAGGGUCUUGUGGACUGCGGAGGCGAGAGGGACGCGGGCGAUGAGGGUGGCAGCGGCUCAAGGAGGAGGAAGAAGAGGAGGAGGAGGAAGAGGAUGCUGGCGGAUUCCUCGUGACGUCAUGCAUCAUCAUUGCCAUGCAGCACUGCAACAAUGUGGCUUCAAAAGAAUUCAUUGACAGGAAAACGGAAACUAAAAAAACAUGAAAAAUGACAAUGAUAUUGCCUGUCAUUUCAACUUUUUAUGCUGAUGAAAUUUCAUUUUUGAAAAUCCGAUUAACACACUCGUGUUACAAAACUCAUUAAUUUAAUAAGUAUACUCGACACUGAAAAAUUGUCAACCAUUGAUCCCAAUCAAGUACUACAUCUUUGUUCCUUUUUAACACAAAUACAAAUUAAAAGGCACAUUUCCAUAUUAUGAAAUAUGAGAAUUUUUUCAUCAUUAUCCUAAAACGUUUUUGAGUUUAUUUCUGUUAAUUAAAAAAAAAAUCCCACGCCCCUUAAAAGCUGUGAAAUUAUUGAAAAUGUAAUAACCGAGUUUUUACAAUAUCUUUUGUUACAUCUAUAUUAACUAAUAAAAAGAUCAAACAUAUUUAAAUGACUUUUUACAAGUUUCCCAAUAAAUACUACCCCAACUGUCAAAUUUAUCACAAUUACUUUGCAAUACAGCUUAAGAAUGUUAAAUGGCAUUCAUUUUUUCCCAAAAGAUUUUCUACUUCCACCCAAGUGGAUUUUAAGACAAUUUUUUUCACACUAUAUUAUAUAUAUAUAACACAUUUGGCCAUCAAAGAUGAUUCUGUUAUGACAAACUAAACCUUAAUAUUUGCCAAAAAUAGAACAUAUUUGAACAUUUUAUGAUCAACACAAAGACGCAUGCUUGGUUCACUGAGGUAUGAGCAUGAAGGCAAUUGUGCUCCGUAAUUGACUGUCGCCCAAAGUCAGCUGGCACCCUAACGAAUAAAGUUUGAUAAAAUAGUUUCGAUGUACGAAAGAGAGCAUAUAAUCGUACACCAGACAGAGGCGAUACAGCAAGAUGGCGGCAAGCCACAGGCUGAGCCCCUUCAGGGUCGGAAGUCAAGCUGGUGCAUCACACAGCAGAUGUCCUGGUCCCUUCUAUGUGGGCACGAUUACGCACGUGAUGAAUAUGAAUAAUGCCUGCCUUCCAUUUUCAUGACCAGAUAUUCACAUAUAGUGUACUUUUGGACUCUGUUCAACAGCUUCCUGUUUUUCACCUUUGCCAAUCAACACAAGAUAUUCCUUCAACAGUAAAGGCUCAGAAACUAGGGGAAUUGGACCUGGAUCUGAAAAUGGAGCUUGAAUUUUGUGCAUUUUGAGAAAUUAUAAAUCGUUUUAGCACCAACUUUUAACCAGAGGAUUACAGGGACCAAGAAAUGCUUUAAAAAAAAAAAACUGCAAACAAUUUACCGACCAUCUUUAUUUACCGACAGAGGUCUCCAAUAGCAGGGCAGGAAUUCACACAUUUCCAGAAGCACGUCAGUUGUUCCACACAAUAACGACGACUGUCAUUUCUUUCAGAGCGAUUAUGAGAGUGGUGGUGGAGGCCGCCACGGCCACGGAAAACACCGGUCCGGCACAGGAAAAACUGCAGAGACCAACUGAAGGAGUGUGUAAACAGUAGCGGGUUGUAGACGCUUCCUAUGCAAAAAAAAAAAAAAAAAAAAAAAAAAACUAAAAUGAAGCUGAUGAGAUGGCUUCAAACUGAACCUAGUGGAAAACGUAAGCCUCGUGAUGCCAGCUUGUUAACCGGUUGCUUUUCUUGUGUGUGUGACCUUAUGUUGCCAUACAAAAGGAAGCCUCGUCAUCAAAGAGACGUCCUGUUUGGACCGUGUUUAAAUACAAUCAAUUCAAAAGAAUUUAUGAAAAUAGUUUUACAGGCGACCGAUCUUAAGAAUAUACACCCUGCUGUGUAGAAAAUACAAAACAACAUGCCAGUGCUGAAAGCGGAACCAAGACGAAUCUCAAUGAGUGCGGCCGUUAACGGCGAGGCGGCCGGGAAACCGGCGGCGGCGCACACCACGUAAAAGGACAGUUUUCAAAAUGCAGAUUUUUUUUUUUAAAGCAAUUACAAAAGAUUCUAUUAAUGGACAAAUGCAGAACUUCUGAAAAAAAAAUGUAUGAAAGCAUCCCUGCUACUUUGUUUCCAAGUAAAAAAACCUCUACCAAUAAGCAGCUACCGAGUAGCAAGAAGUCCAUUUUCUUUUUUGUGUUUUUUUUUUGUUUUUUUGUUUUUUUUCCCCAUCUGUUUUGUUUUUCUUGGGUAAAACGCAGUCCUGACGUCGAGGGUCACAGUUCAUGACAGUCUUCUACCGUCGUUUCACUUUGCUGAAGGAUCCAGGAACAUGCAAGCCUCGUAGCGGAGGUGCUCAAGAGCGGCGAGAGGUGGGGG